rnacentral:rRNA from 1 species
GGUUUGGGGGGCCCCCGGGAAUAAUUGGGGGAGGGGGGGAGACUCAAUUCAUCAUCCCCUUAAGUUCUUGGGCUACACACGUGCUACAAGGCUGUACAAAGGGAAGCACAGCGCAAGCUGAAGCGGAUCUCAGAAAAGCAGUCCCAGUUCGGAUUGUGGGCUGCAACCCGCCCACAUGAAGUCGGAGUUGCUAGUAAUCGCGGAUCAGAAUGCCGCGGGAAUACGUUCCCGGGCCUGUACACACCGCCCGUCACACCAUGGGAGUGGGAGCGCCCGAAGCCGGUAUCCUAACCGUAAGGAGGGAGCCGUCGAAGGCGAGACCAAGACUGGGGGAAGUCGUAACAAGGUAACCUAAUCUAGAGCAUCGUGAGGUACCGAGC